GAAGGCAAGGAGGAGCAAGUCACAUCUUACGUGGAUGUCCAGAGAGCUUGUGCAGAUACACAAAAAAGGCCAGUCAUGAAUCACGCCAAAUUGGAAGCAACCAAGAUGUCCUUCAGCGUGUGAAUGGAUAAGCAAACUAUGGUGCAUUCAGGUUAGGCGAUGCUUUCCUUCACUGUCCAGUUUGCAGAGCCGUCUUGGAGCUGGCGCGGGUCCUCCCUCUGUCGUCCUGGCUCUUGGAAAGGAACCAGGCGGGCUGAGGAACUGGCGCGCCCUCGUCCGCCCACAAGUCCUUGGAAAGCGCAGGCCUCGUGCGCUCUCCAGCGCCCUUCCAGGGCGCAAGGGCAGGACAGGUACAUCCCGCGUGCUGCGGUGGCGAUCAGCGCGGACACGGAGCCUGGCUCCACCCGUCCGCCCAGCCUUGGGGUUCUGCCAGAGCGCCGGGCGCAGAGCAAGCGGGUCUGAGCUCCAGCACCUUUGGCAGCUCCCGGCCCCGGGGUGCGAACGGCGGCCGUGGCUCACCGCUUCAGGAGCAGGCGACCAGGACACUAGGAAGAGAAGCCCGGACCAGGGCUAGUUUGUUUCCCCAACUCCUCUGGCCAGCUCAGGUUCUUAAACCCGCCGUGCAACAGACGCAGGUACCGGCUCAGAAAGCUCAGUCAGUGGUGCAGGAAGCCUGGGUCGCGGUGCAUCGUGUUUAAAAAUAAACACACACUUCCCUUGGG
rnacentral:lncRNA from 10 species